rnacentral:rRNA from 1 species
GUGUCAGCCGCCGCGGUAAUACGUAGGUGGCAAGCGUUGUCCGGAUUUACUGGGCGUAAAGGGAGCGUAGGCGGAUUUUUAAGUGGGAUGUGAAAUACUCGGGCUCAACCUGAGUGCUGCAUUCCAAACUGGAGAUCUAGAGUGCAGGAGGGGAGAGUGGAAUUCCUAGUGUAGCGGUGAAAUGCGUAGAGAUUAGGAAGAACACCAGUGGCGAAGGCGACUCUCUGGACUGUAACUGACGCUGAGGCUCGAAAGCGUGGGGAGCAAACAGGAUUAGAUACCCUGGUAGUCCACGCCGUAAACGAUGGAUACUAGGUGUGGGAGGUGUCAACUCCUUCCGUGCCGCCGCUAACGCAUUAAGUAUCCCGCCUGGGGAGUACGGUCGCAAGAUUAAA